rnacentral:rRNA from 1 species
GAUGAACGCUAGCGGCAGGCUUAAUACAUGCAAGUCGAGGGGCAGCAUGAUUGUAGCAAUACAAUUGAUGGCGACCGGCAAACGGGUGCGGAACACGUACACAACCUUCCAAUAAGUGGGGAAUAGCCCAGAGAAAUUUGGAUUAAUACCCCGUAACAUAACGAUGUGGAAUCACAUUGUUAUUAUAGAUUUUUCGCUUAUUGAUGGGUGUGCGGCUGAUUAGAUAGUUGGCGGGGUAACGGCCCACCAAGUCUACGAUCAGUAGCUGAUGUGAGAGCAUGAUCAGCCACACGGGCACUGAGACACGGGCCCGACUCCUACGGGAGGCAGCAGUAAGGAAUAUUGGACAAUGGACGCAAGUCUGAUCCAGCCAUGCCGCGUGAAGGAUUAAGGUCCUCUGGAUUGUAAACUUCUUUUAUAAGGGACGAAAAAAGGCUUUUCUAAGUCGUCUGACGGUACCUUAUGAAUAAGCACCGGCUAACUCCGUGCCAGCCGCCGCCGUAAUAC